UGGUCGUCAUUACAUGUGUAUGCAUAAAUAUUUGUGUAUUUCAUCUCUUCCUUUCUGUAUUUUUUUCCCAAAACACGAAUUAAAUUUCAAUAUACAAUAAAAAAUUACGCCAUUAAAAUUACGUGUCUUUUAUCGUAAUCAUGUGGAAGGAGAAAUCUGAAUUUUUGCAGGAGGGACUUGCAAUAUGUUACUCUGACGAAGAAAAUAGCACAGAGGCCUGUACGCAUUGUGGACCUGAUCUAAUUCCAGAUGUAAUUCCUCAUCUUUGCAAAUUCCUUGCAACCAAGGACAUAAAACGGUGUCGACUAGUCUGUAAAUCAUGGAAUUACAAUGCUACGCAUACUUUAAAGGGGAGGACAACUAUAAAAAUUCGACUUUAUCCGGAAAAUGAUCGGGAUACGGAUCCCUUUAAAAUGUGGGACGGUAUCGUCCAAAAAAUGCAAUUCUGUCAGGUCAAUGUCCACCUGGAGAUUCUAAACCAACUGGAAUACACCCUCCCACCAGUGGGCCUCAAAAUCUUUCCCCCGGUGGGAUUUCUUAAGUCCAUUUUUGUCCAGGUGUAUAAAGCCGAACAGUGGCAGAAAGAUUUGUGUGACAAAAUUGUACUGAAUUCGGCCCUGACUCUGGAGAAAUUAAGGUUUGAAUGGAGACACGAUAUGGAUUAUUUCCCUUUCCUGAGAGGCACCACUUUCCCUGAAUUAUGGGAACUAAUUCUAUGGGAUAUCUGGGAUCGGAGAGAGAAUGAUGGUCUCCUUCUGGAAAGAAUAGGCCAAAUGAUUACGGAAGCGUUUCCAAAGUUGGAAUAUCUCAAAACUAAUUGUAAUCAGCUAUAUGAAAUUGGAAAGAUGGGAUUCUUGUCGAAUUUUCCUGGGUAAGUAGUUUCGUAAUAUUUGUUGAUCCUCGACCUGUGGUCUAUCUAAAAUAAGAAGUCACUUAGAAAUCUCAGAGGUUUCAAAUUUUCAAACGUAUUUAUCUCUGAGGCGUGACGAAAUGUAACAUUUGGCUAAGCAGAGGACUGUACGGAAAUGAUGUGAACGAUUUGAGGGGGGAGGUUAAGGUAUCCUAUCCUGCCCAUGUUAAUUAUACCAUGGAUCCAAUAGCUCACACCGGUGAUGGUAGGGGUUCACAAUUUCCCAAAAAUCAGUCACAUGCUUUAUGUCUGGCCCCUUUCCCACAUGAACCAUAAUCUGGCUGAAAAUAUGACCUAAUUUUUCUUAAUCAUGUCAAUCAGAUCACUUAAGUCCUUGGAAUUGACGGGACAAUUGGACGCCAAGGGGCUAAAAUAUAUCGCUAAAAUUCCUAGCUCUUUAAAGAAACUUGUCUUCCAUCAGGUUUCUUUUGAUGCUUAUGAUCCCUACUUGAACAGACUGCCAUUUAUGCUGCACAAAUUGCUCGAGAAACAUUCCCCCACUUUAGAAAAACUCGCCAUCGACAUAUCCUGGCCGGAUGGGUGUGAAAAAUUGAAAUGGGGAGUCCCAGUUUUUCCAGCCCUCAAAAGUUUCCGGAUCUGUCACCCCACAACUUUUGAAAAUAUUGAGUUUCGCGAUAAACUCGUGACAGGAAACAACUGGAUACGACUUGAUUAUAACGUUUGUUUCCCGAGUUUGGAAAGUUUGCAUGUCUCCACAAACGAAUUGCACGUGGCGUUUCUUCCCUCGGCAGAAAAUAGAAUUCUGAUUGCCAAUUCGGUCAAGAACGUGGAAAUUGCGGUUGAAGAUGUGCGGAACAAAGAGGAAAAAUUAGCAUUCUAUAAACGAUUAUUGGAUGUUUUUCAGAACGCGAGAGAUUCGGCAAGCGGAAAUUUAAAGAUAAUCGUUACAUACAAAACGUAAGCGUUCUGA